CAAACACAAAUUUGCAACCAUAGGUUUCAACAGCAUCGAUUGAGAAGGAGAGGCAGGCCAUUUGCUACCAUCCUUGACCAUAACGAGCACAGAUCAGGGGUCGACGUCUAGAUAUUGCAGAAUGAAUUCAUCAAGGAUGGCUAUGUCAAUGUUGGCUGCUUGUGUUGCUGUUCUGGUCAUGGCUUCUGCUGCUGCCGCUGAUGAGGGCCAUGUUCAUACACCUGGCAUGGAAAUGCCCCCGGCCGCCGCGCCAAGCUCAGGCACCCUCGCGUCUCCAUCAAUGGUGAUUGGAAUCGCCCUUGCUUUCAUUGCUUCCCUUGUUGUUGUUAGAGAGCGGGUGUGAGCCUUCAUUUAUAUAUAUAUCAUCCUCCUCCUAUGCAUGUGCAUGCCUUUGGUCAUUAGACCUUGGCUACAGUUUCGGUGUUUGUCGUAACUCGUGAUGUUAAUUUAUGUUGUCUGUUUAUUUUUAUUGAUUGCAAGGUCGAAUUUUAUGUUGCCACAA